CUGGAUUUUUCGUUACUUCCCUGGGAACGACGACCAAUGUACGACCUUGUAAUAAUGGACCCCAAAUUUCUGGCACACUAUCGACGAACGUUAAAGCCGUCUUAAAGAUGCAACGAUUCUCGUUCGUCCAAUAAGAUAAACGAACGAGUUGAAGGUUAGUUUAAAAAUUGCUUACCUUCCUUCUCGAGGAUCACUAUGAUUGGUUCAGCCUCCUGCAAGAUGUGUUUCAACCUAGUCGAUGGGAAUUCAGGGUCCAAAGGUCAUUUCUCGUACCUCGCCGUUAGCAUCUAACAAAUCAAAAAAUCGAAGAUCAGUACGAAGUUCGAAAUGUUACUACAAAAAAAAGAGAGAAACAAAAGAAAUCUUUCAUUAAUUUGAAAUUUCGUUUUAUUGAUCAUCUUCACCUUCGAAAAUGAUUGCAAUAUCAUCAACAUGUCUACAUGCUGUUUCGCUGAAUAAUUUAUGAAGGUACCCAUCUAAAAUCGGACAUCAAAAAUGUCAUUGAAAGAGGAUAUUAUUAUGAUCUGACGUAAUAAAAAUCUUGGCUUCUCAAUGAAAAUGAAUAUGAUAAACGUUUCACUAAUAAUCGAUCUUACUUAUAGUUUGGAUGAGGAAUCUUUGAAAUAUUUCGUAGAACAUUAAAUCUAAAUGUAUUAUGAAAAAUAUAACAAAACAAUCACAUAUUGUAGAUGCAAAGAGUAAAAUGACUACGAAAUAUGGAGACUAUUGCAUAGAUCAACCGUUUACGUAAGCAUUUGUAGAACAACAAGAAAGUUGAUCAACCAGUGCGUUAACUAUCAACGAAAGAUGCAAAGAGUAAAAUGACUACGAAAUAUGGAGACUAUUGCAUAUAUCAACCGUUUACGUAAGCAUUUGUAGAACAACACGAAAGUUGGUCAACCAGUACGUUAACUAUCAACGAAAUGUAUCCAUACUGUAAAAUAUUAAACGAAAUACUUAAGAAAUAAUAAUGUAAACAUGUAAACAUUAUAUAUUCUAAACAAGAAAGUUCAUUAAAUCAAUAAAUUAA